AUGGCUGCAGUGUUCUGAGCUUCCUACAACUUUGGAUAACUGCAAGAUUUGGGAAGAGCAAGGACCCUCUUUGGAGAAGGAGGGAUGUGAUAUAGGCUAUUCACCAGAAGACCAAGGCUGCCAGAGCUGCUGAGCUAUAUCAAUGUGAAAGGACUGCCCAUGUGGACUACAGCAGUUUAAGAAGGCCCAGGAUCUUUCCAAGGGAAACUGAGCUCACACCAAUAUGGAACAAAAGCAAAAUUCAGUGAUUGCUGGAAUCUGAAGGAAGAACGGAACAUGCUGGAAAUGUUUCACAGACCCAGGUCAACAUCAAGUUGAAACAUGCAGAGCUCAAGAGACCAAGGAUGAGCGAGCCUCCUCAGAGGAGGAGUGUGAAGGAUACUCCAAGGAUGCAGUGUCACAUCAAUCUCUGUCACUCUCUGCCAGCCCAAAUAUUCUCACAUGUAUACAGAUUUGUGUAUAUUAUGUCAAAUUGAAGUGAAAUAGUCUUUGAACUUACUCAACACACAUAUACUUGUUGCAAUUUACUUUUAAAACGAAUGAUCUUUUACAUUGCCAAGGGCAGUGCUUGUAAGGAUUGCUAAAUCAUGAUGGCAUCUGGGAAAAAAAAAUCAAAUCAAACUGAGCUGGAAUGCUUAGAACUUAGCCCAGCAAUCCUUCAUUUUAUCAUUAAUCUGAAGGUGCAGAUCUGCUUUCAAACCAACACAGGAAGACAAAUGAUGACUGAUGACUAUAUUGAUGAAAAAUCUUGGGCACUGGAAAUUUAGCAGCUCCAAGAAAACUGAAAUGGUCUCAUAACAACUGACCCACUUUCAUGUCUCAUUUUUAAGACUGUUAUUCCCUCCACUGUCAAGUAAAUCUUUUAAGACUGAAGGCAAUCGCUUUCUGACAGGAUUCUGAAAAAGGUAAGAUGGAUGAAUAUAUCUAUUAAGAUUUACAUGAGUAGCACAUAGCAUUAGCGCAAGGAAUUACAAGAAUGUUGGAAUUCACAAAAGGCAACAACAGAAGUAAUAUAUUGCCAUGAAAAUCCGAGCUAAAUCAUUUCCU